rnacentral:snRNA from 1 species
GUGCUGACUUUGCAGCACUUACGCUAAAAUUGGAACAAUACAGAGAAGAUUAGCAUGGCCCCAGCACAAAUAUGAUAUGCAAAUUCAUAAACUGUUCCAUAUUAAA